CUCUACCUCCGUGUGCGUCGUCGACGAGUCACGAGAGGUUCGAUUACUGGCUCAGAACGAACGCUGGCGGCAGGCUUAACACAUGCAAGUUGAACGGGAAUUGAUGGUAGCUUGCUAUCAUUGAGGAGAGUAGCGCACUGGUGAGUAACACGUGGGAACAUGCCUUUUGGUGGGGGACAACAGAGGGAAACUUCUGCUAAUACCGCAUAAGCCCUAAGGGGGAAAGAUUUAUUGCCGAAAGAUUGGCCCGCGGAAGAUUAGGUAGUUGGUGGGGUAAAGGCCUACCAAGCCGACGAUCUAUAGCUGGUCUGAGAGGACGAGCAGCCACAUUGGAACUGAGACACGGUCCAGACUCCUACGGGAGGCAGCAGUGAGGAAUAUUGGGCAAUGGAGGAAACUCUGACCCAGCCCAUGCCGCGUGAGUGAAGAAGGUUUUCGAAUUGUAAAGCUCUUUCGGAUGUGACGAUGAUGACGGUAGCAUCUAAAGAAGCCCCGGCAAACUUCGUGCCAGCAGCGGC
rnacentral:rRNA from 1 species